rnacentral:rRNA from 1 species
AGAUUGAACGCUGGCGGCAGGCCUAACACAUGCAAGUCGAGCGGCAGCACGGGUACUUGUACCUGGUGGCGAGCGGCGGACGGGUGAGUAAUGCCUAGGAAUCUGCCUGAUAGUGGGGGAUAACGCUCGGAAACGGACGCUAAUACCGCAUACGUCCUACGGGAGAAAGCAGGGGACCUUCGGGCCUUGCGCUAUCAGAUGAGCCUAGGUCGGAUUAGCUAGUUGGUGGGGUAAUGGCUCACCAAGGCGACGAUCCGUAACUGGUCUGAGAGGAUGAUCAGUCACACUGGAACUGAGACACGGUCCAGACUCCUACGGGAGGCAGCAGUGGGGAAUAUUGGACAAGUGGGCGAAAGCCUGAUCCAGCCAUGCCGCGUGUGUGAAGAAGGUCUUCGGAUUGAAAGC